AGAGCUUAGCUGAUUGGUGAACAGUGAUUGAUUCCCUCUUUGUUCACAGUGGCUAAGUUCUGC
ensembl:miRNA